CCCUCGAUAGCUCAGUUGGUAGAGCGGUGGACUGUAGUCGUAUAUUCUGAAAGUUAUCCAUAGGUCGCUGGUUCAAAUCCGGCUCGAGGGA
rnacentral:tRNA from 1 species